UAUAGUUGUACCACUCUGAAUGUGCCUUAUCUCAGCUGAUCUUGGAAGCUAAGCAGGGUCGGGCCUGGUUAGUACUUGGAUGGGAGAAAAGUGAAAACAUUCAAGUCCUGGGCACUUCAAUGU
ensembl:rRNA 5S_rRNA 5S ribosomal RNA